AUGGUAAAGAACAUGUGCAACAGACUUCCUAUGUGCUAAUAUGCUAUUUUUUUUCAUAUUGAAACUCUUUCAUGUUUUUUUUUUUAAUUAAAAUUGCAGCAUGCAUUUUCCAUUCCACGCCCGCCCCACCACCCCCCCUCCCUUUUUCUAUUCAGAAGCGUGAUCAUAACUUUUUGUUGGUUCAUUUUGUAUUAGUCUGCAAUAACAACUUUUUCCCUUCUUUUUCAAGUUAAUUCUAUUGUUCCAUAUAGCACUGGUUUGAUGUAG
rnacentral:misc_RNA from 1 species